UAAUCCGACCUAGGCUCAUCUCAGAGUGUGAGGCCUUACGGUCCCCCACUUUGGUCUCUCGACAUCAUGCGGUAUUAAUCAGGGUUUCCCCUGGCUAUCCCCCGCUCUGAGGCAGAUUCCUAUGUAUUGCUCACCCGUCCGCCGCUCGCCGGCACCCUUACGGGCCCGCUGCCGCUCGACUUGCAUGUGUUAGGCCUGCCGCCAGCGUUCAAUCUGAGCCAGGAUCAAACUCU
rnacentral:rRNA from 1 species